ensembl:lncRNA
AUGUCCAUGAACGGAAAAAUAAAGAAAAUAUCGAGAAGAAAGUAUCAAGUACCUGUGGAAAGCACACCUGCUCUCAAAAAGGAUGGAGGACUAGGCCUCGCGCUUGCGCAUCAGGUGCCCCUGACCAGGAGCGAGAUCUCGCGGGAUCUCAGGCAAGUGUCGAGUUACCCACAAGGCUGUGCCUCGGGACCGGAAGCACCGCUGGGACCUGGAGUUUUGAGACCCGGCGCCAGGCCCUGCCCUGACCGCGUGAGGUGGGCGAGGUGUGAUGGCCGGGAUGGUGUGAAGAGACGGUCAGAAGUCCGAGGAAAAGAGGUCCGCUCUGUCAUGGAGUUCGUGGGGGCGCUGAGGGUGCAUUUUGCAAUUAGUUCUGCCCCAAAACUGCCUGCAGCCCGGCCCCUCCCUCGCCGUGCAGCGCGGCCCCCUGUCAUCUUAGGGUUUUGCCGCCGUCUCUCCUUCUGCUGGCCUCGCGUAUCUCCGCGCCGCCUGGCUCACUCGGGAUGUCUGCCGAAAAGCCGGCGCAGCAGGCUGGUCUCCAAGGAUGUGCAAGAGCAGCUGUGGACUAUAACUGAGAGGAGUUAUCUUUGCAUUUUUCAUUGUUGCUUGGGAGAAGAAGUUAUCAAGAAACAAGAAAAUAAUUAGGGUAAGGUGAUGCUAGAGCUUCUACUGUAGCAUAAUAUCUAACCCUUUAUACUAUGUGAUGUAACCUAAAUAGUGACAAGUCCUAUAAAGAAAGUAUGUCUGGGAUAAAGAAAAAAGGAAAAUGGAUCUGUGGGUGAGUCUUUAGUUCAAAAGAAAGAGACUGUGAUAGUGAUAAGGACUAGAGUGUUAGUUGUAGAGCUGAUAAAUAAUGUUUAUAAUUUGAAAGAUUGGCUUAGUAUGUGGUAUGAUAAAGAGAUAAAUCAAGAACUAAUCUCAGGUUUUUGGCCUGAGCACAUGGAUACAUAGUGUUGCUCUUUCCUGAGGUGGGAAAGACGAUAUAAGGAUGGCCUAAAGCUGAAAGCAAGAAUUUUUUUUUUUAGAUUUUUUUUUUUUUUUUUGCAAUAUGUUAAGGUUUUGUAAAGACUGAAAAUUCAGUAUAAAGUAACAAAAAAUACUCAUAAAUGUAAUCAUUAUUUCUCAUUUUUCUCAUACAAUCCACCACUAUUACUAGAGUAACAAGAGUAGAACACAGUUUUACUGUAGAAAUUCUAAUUAUUUAACUGCUUAGAAAGAACAGAGGGACCAAGGAAUUUAAAACUGUUUCCUUGUCUACUUAUUCACAUUCGUUGCCAAGAGUGGUUUAAUAUCCAGAUGCUUGAAAAGAGAAAAAAGAAAAAGAAAAAAAAUUCUCCAGUGUAUCUGAGACCUGACGAUGCAGCAACAUAUUUUCAUCUUUGCAUUUCAAACUAGUCUCUUAUAAAGCCUCAUUCACACUGUUUAAAAAUAGAUAUCUCUUCAGUUAAAACUUUUGCUGUACUGUAUUUAGCAUAGUUAUAUAUUUUCUGCCCACAUUUAAUUCCACUCUGUCUCUAAUUUACAUUUUAACAAGAUCAUUCCGGCAAUUGCUGCUGGAUAAUACAUUGGAGUUCCAAGAGUGAAGGCAUAGACUCACACCUGAGGCUGUCGGAGUGGUUGAGAGGGAAAUAUCAGAAAAUAGUUCAUUUAAUGAUGACACUGCAGAGGUGGAGAAUUUCAAUACAGUUAGUGAUCAUUUGGGUGUGGGUGGUAAAGACAGAAAGGAAUUAAGGAUGGAUGGCUCCAUAUUUUUGAACUCGAAAAACAGAAUAGAUGAGAGAAAACUUUAUAGAUACAUUAAAUUUAAAGACUCUCUACAAAUGGAACUUAAUUGCUCAUUUGGCAUUUCACAUUUCAAAGGACACACUGAAAGGGGAUUUGAAAAGAAAACAGCAAACAUCUUGAAUCUUGAUUGGCUUGAAAAGUAUUUUUAUGGAUUAUUUCUUUCUAUUUUCAUUUAUUUCUGUAAAUGUCUUUUGGAAGAAAUAAACAUGUUUCAUAGGUAUCUGUAUUAUUCA